rnacentral:rRNA from 1 species
UUAAGCGACUAAGCGUACACGGUGGAUGCCCUGGCAGUCAGAGGCGAUGAAGGACGUGCUAAUCUGCGAUAAGCGUCGGUAAGGUGAUAUGAACCGUUAUAACCGGCGAUUUCCGAAUGGGGAAACCCAGUGUGUUUCGACACACUAUCAUUAACUGAAUCCAUAGGUUAAUGAGGCGAACCGGGGGAACUGAAACAUCUAAGUACCCCGAGGAAAAGAAAUCAACCGAGAUUCCCCCAGUAGCGGCGAGCGAACGGGGAGCAGCCCAGAGCCUGAAUCAGUGUGUGUGUUAGUGGAAGCGUCUGGAAAGGCGCGCGAUACAGGGUGACAGCCCCGUACACAAAAAUGCACAUAUUGUGAGCUCGAUGAGUAGGGCGGGACACGUGGUAUCCUGUCUGAAUAUGGGGGGACCAUCCUCCAAGGCUAAAUACUCCUGACUGACCGAUAGUGAACCAGUACCGUGAGGGAAAGGCGAAAAGAACCCCGGCGAGGGGAGUGAAAAAGAACCUGAAACCGUGUACGUACAAGCAGUGGGAGCACGCUUCGGCGUGUGACUGCGUACCUUUUGUAUAAUGGGUCAGCGACUUAUAUUCUGUAGCAAGGUUAACCGAAUAGGGGAGCCGAAGGGAAACCGAGUCUUAACUGGGCGUUAAGUUGCAGGGUAUAGACCCGAAACCCGGUGAUCUAGCCAUGGGCAGGUUGAAGGUUGGGUAACACUAACUGGAGGACCGAACCGACUAAUGUUGAAAAAUUAGCGGAUGACUUGUGGCUGGGGGUGAAAGGCCAAUCAAACCGGGAGAUAGCUGGUUCUCCCCGAAAGCUAUUUAGGUAGCGCCUCGUGAAUUCAUCUCCGGGGGUAGAGCACUGUUUCGGCAAGGGGGUCAUCCCGACUUACCAACCCGAUGCAAACUGCGAAUACCGGAGAAUGUUAUCACGGGAGACACACGGCGGGUGCUAACGUCCGUCGUGAAGAGGGAAACAACCCAGACCGCCAGCUAAGGUCCCAAAGUCAUGGUUAAGUGGGAAACGAUGUGGGAAGGCCCAGACAGCCAGGAUGUUGGCUUAGAAGCAGCCAUCAUUUAAAGAAAGCGUAAUAGCUCACUGGUCGAGUCGGCCUGCGCGGAAGAUGUAACGGGGCUAAACCAUGCACCGAAGCUGCGGCAGCGACACUAUGUGUUGUUGGGUAGGGGAGCGUUCUGUAAGCCUGUGAAGGUGUGCUGUGAGGCAUGCUGGAGGUAUCAGAAGUGCGAAUGCUGACAUAAGUAACGAUAAAGCGGGUGAAAAGCCCGCUCGCCGGAAGACCAAGGGUUCCUGUCCAACGUUAAUCGGGGCAGGGUGAGUCGACCCCUAAGGCGAGGCCGAAAGGCGUAGUCGAUGGGAAACAGGUUAAUAUUCCUGUACUUGGUGUUACUGCGAAGGGGGGACGGAGAAGGCUAUGUUGGCCGGGCGACGGUUGUCCCGGUUUAAGCGUGUAGGCUGGUUUUCCAGGCAAAUCCGGAAAAUCAAGGCUGAGGCGUGAUGACGAGGCACUACGGUGCUGAAGCAACAAAUGCCCUGCUUCCAGGAAAAGCCUCUAAGCAUCAGGUAACAUCAAAUCGUACCCCAAACCGACACAGGUGGUCAGGUAGAGAAUACCAAGGCGCUUGAGAGAACUCGGGUGAAGGAACUAGGCAAAAUGGUGCCGUAACUUCGGGAGAAGGCACGCUGAUAUGUAGGUGAGGUCCCUCGCGGAUGGAGCUGAAAUCAGUCGAAGAUACCAGCUGGCUGCAACUGUUUAUUAAAAACACAGCACUGUGCAAACACGAAAGUGGACGUAUACGGUGUGACGCCUGCCCGGUGCCGGAAGGUUAAUUGAUGGGGUCAGCGCAAGCGAAGCUCUUGAUCGAAGCCCCGGUAAACGGCGGCCGUAACUAUAACGGUCCUAAGGUAGCGAAAUUCCUUGUCGGGUAAGUUCCGACCUGCACGAAUGGCGUAAUGAUGGCCAGGCUGUCUCCACCCGAGACUCAGUGAAAUUGAACUCGCUGUGAAGAUGCAGUGUACCCGCGGCAAGACGGAAAGACCCCGUGAACCUUUACUAUAGCUUGACACUGAACAUUGAGCCUUGAUGUGUAGGAUAGGUGGGAGGCUUUGAAGUGUGGACGCCAGUCUGCAUGGAGCCGACCUUGAAAUACCACCCUUUAAUGUUUGAUGUUCUAACGUUGACCCGUAAUCCGGGUUGCGGACAGUGUCUGGUGGGUAGUUUGACUGGGGCGGUCUCCUCCUAAAGAGUAACGGAGGAGCACGAAGGUUGGCUAAUCCUGGUCGGACAUCAGGAGGUUAGUGCAAUGGCAUAAGCCAGCUUGACUGCGAGCGUGACGGCGCGAGCAGGUGCGAAAGCAGGUCAUAGUGAUCCGGUGGUUCUGAAUGGAAGGGCCAUCGCUCAACGGAUAAAAGGUACUCCGGGGAUAACAGGCUGAUACCGCCCAAGAGUUCAUAUCGACGGCGGUGUUUGGCACCUCGAUGUCGGCUCAUCACAUCCUGGGGCUGAAGUAGGUCCCAAGGGUAUGGCUGUUCGCCAUUUAAAGUGGUACGCGAGCUGGGUUUAGAACGUCGUGAGACAGUUCGGUCCCUAUCUGCCGUGGGCGCUGGAGAACUGAGGGGGGCUGCUCCUAGUACGAGAGGACCGGAGUGGACGCAUCACUGGUGUUCGGGUUGUCAUGCCAAUGGCACUGCCCGGUAGCUAAAUGCGGAAGAGAUAAGUGCUGAAAGCAUCUAAGCACGAAACUUG